UGCGGCUGGAUCACCUCCUUUCUAAGAGAAAGAUAAACUAAGGCUAAUUCUAUUAACUCUUCCCUACUCUUUUCUUUUGAUAAAAGGGUUUUUAAAACCAAUGUUAUUUUUUAAGUUUAAUACAUAAGUUUCUAUUAGACUUUUUAUUAAUGAUAUUAAAGCGCUCUAUUAAGUUUAGAUCAUUUUGGGGGUUUAGCUCAGUUGGCUAGAGCAUCGGCUUUGCAAGCCGAGGGUCAAGGGUUCGAGUCCCUUAACCUCCAUUUGGCAUGUGCCUUGGAUUGUGAUUAAGCAUGUUUUCAGGAAAUUUGUUAAAGUAAUUAUUUGAAGAUGAAACAGAAUAAGUUAGAAUUUCUAGGUUAAAGCUGGAAUCUUUUAAUACCAAGGAAAAUGUCUAGGAGCAAAAGCAAAUCUUUUAUAAAAACUUACGUUGUGUUACAAAUCAUAAGGAUUAAAUAAGAUUGCAUUUUUAAGCAGUUUAUUUUAUAAACAUCCCACAUUCAUUACUAGCUUUUAAAAUUGGAAAUUAAUGUGGGUCGUUUGGCGUGGUGUCUGGGGGUGUAAGUCUUGUAGCGAGCCGCAACUUUUGUUAUCGUUACCACUAUGUAAUGAUGGGGAUUUGUAUAAGAUUUUGGUUAUAAAGUGGAGGGUAAGGCUUUUGUUCAAGUUGUUACUCUUAUGUUCUGCGCACGUGUUUACAAUGUCCUGUACAAAGCGAAGAGAAACAGUGAUUUGAAGCAAAAGCUUAAAGCGGGCUAAGUCUGGAUUGAAGUUUGAAAUUUGAUUUCAUGAAGUUAGAAUUACUAGUAAUCGUAUAUUAGAAUAAUAUGGCGAAUGCGUUCUCAGGCUUUAUAUACACCUGACUGGUACGUUACCCGAGUAUAAGGAUACUCAAAGUAUUAUCCUAACUCGUAAAGGAGGGGGUAGCAUUUAAGGUGUUUUUAGGUAGGGAGCGGGGUCGUAACAAUACGAUGAUACUUUUCAGUAUAACCGGAUUAGCCUCUUUUAAAGAAAAAGAUAAAUUAAGAUCAAAAAAUUGACUAUUCUUUGUACGUUUAUUUUGAUGAAAAAGUUUUUGAAAUCAAUGUAAAUUUUUGAUUUAAAAUUUAGAAAAAUAAAUCUUUGGUAAAUGUUUGGCAGUAUUCAGCUUUAUCUUAAUUAAGAUUUGGUUUAAUAGUAAUUACAGUUUUAGAUUUUAAGGUCAAGGUUUUUAUAUUAUUAAUUAUAGUUUAAAGCGAUACUGCCAUACUUAAAACGAUGAAAUACAUGACCA
rnacentral:misc_RNA from 1 species